UACGUAGGUGGCAAGCGUUGUCCGGAUUUACUGGGCGUAAAGCGCACGUAGGCGGGUCAUCAAGUCGGAUGUGAAAUCCCUCGGCUUAACCGAGGACGUGCAUACGAAACUGACGACCUUGAGUACGAAAGAGGAUCGCGGAAUUCCCGGUGUAGAGGUGAAAUUCGUAGAUAUCGGGAGGAACACCAGUGGCGAAGGCGGCGAUCUGGGUCGAUACUGACGCUGAGGUGCGAAAGCGUGGGGAGCAAACAGG
rnacentral:rRNA from 1 species